AUAUAUAUAUAUAGAGAGAGAGAGAGAGAGUGGCGUGAGUAAAUUGCCGUUUCGUUUGUUAAUUACCAUCUUGAAAGAGCGUCUGUCUGGGAACGUUGAGGUUCGAUGGCACGUUUGGGG